rnacentral:rRNA from 1 species
CAGCCGCCACGGGAAUACAGAGGGUGCGAGCGUUAAUCGGAUUUACUGGGCGUAAAGCGUGCGUAGGCGGCUUUUUAAGUCGGAUGUGAAAUCCCUGAGCUUAACUUAGGAAUUGCAUUCGAUACUGGGAAGCUAGAGUAUGGGAGAGGAUGGUAGAAUUCCAGGUGUAGCAGUGAAAUGCGUAGAUAUGUGGAGGAAUACCGAUGGCGAAGGCAGCCCCCUGGGAUAACACUGACGCUCAUGCACGAAAGCGUGGGGAGCAAACAGGAUUAGAUACCCCGGUAGUCCCUGUCUCUUAUAC